rnacentral:lncRNA from 1 species
AGUUCAAUGGCUGUUGCAUGCGUCCUCAAGCUGCUACGUCGUCACUGGAGCUGCCUUUCCUCCGUUUUCUCAAUUAUUCGUGAGCCCAGUAAGUCAUUCCUUGUUUCGAACUCUUUCAGUUGCUGUUUUGUUAUAGAUUAUUGAAUUUUACAGAACGUUAAUAUAUCAAGAUUGAGUGUUGUUGUGAGUGGCACUUUUGGGGAUGUUACGGCUGCGGGAAAUAGUCAGACUCGAUGCCGUUCGAUUUCAGGCCGAGGAGAAAAGGGAUUCUCUGAUGCGUUUGGUUGUGGGUUCGCUUGCUGAGGUAGGGUUUUCUUAAAAUUUAUUUUAUCUUAUAGAGUUGUUAUAAAUAGAUAUUAAUGUGAGAAACAUAUGUCUGUGAUUAUGAUUGUCUUAUGAAUGUGGUUGUUUGCUGGACUGAAUGACUAAUUGCUUGAGUGGUGUGUGAUUAUUGAAAAGAAAUUAGUUUGAAAAGUUUUUUAGUUAAUUAUUAUGAAAAGUGAUUUUUCUUGGGUUUGAAGUUAAUUUGAUAAUAUAAAUGAAUCGGUUUUGGAAAUGAUUUAAGAUAUGAAAAUGAAUUAAUUUUGGAAGCGAUUUAAUUUUGAAUUAGUUUAAUUUUAUAAAUGAUUUAAUAUUUGAGCUGGUUUAAUUUUGGAAAAAAAAUAUUAUUGGAAAUGGUUCAAUUUGAAAAUAAUUUGAUACUAGAACUAGUUGAAUUUUGGAAAAUGAUUGAGAUUUGGAAAUGGUUGAGAAAGGGUUUGAGGAAUGUUUAGAUGGGACCCAAAAAGGGUGGCAGAGUCCGAGUUUUAGAGGAGAUGCUGCCGAAAUUUUAUAAAAUUGGAAGUUUUGUUUGAAGUAAUUAUUUAAAAAGAUUUGGUUUUAAACAUUAUAUGUUUUAAGAUUGAUUUAUUUAGAAAAGAAAGAAUUAUGUUUUGAAUUGGGAUUGUUGAUGAACAUAAUGGAAAGAUGGAUGAUGAGGAUUGACUUUGAAAUAUGAUUUUUUAAUGAAUUCGGAAAUAAGGUAUGGAUUGACGAAUGAUGAUGAUAUUGAGAAUGACUUAGAUAUUGAUGAAUGUUGAAUGAGUUAUUCAUAUGGCUUAUGAAUUUGAAUUAUCUGAGACACGAAUUUUCCUGGGUAGACGUAGUGGCUUGCCACCACUUGCUCCAAGUUGAGACUCGAUACUCUGUUGACCCCAUGACGUAAGGGUGACCGGCCACUUAUAAAUUCUCGGGAAUGGUACCCCCAUUGAGAGAUUUGAUAUAUAUAUGAGAAAAAUCUAUGCAUAGACUCAUGGGGAUGCGCAUCAGGGGACAAUCCAAGGGUUUAGCAUAGGACAUGCAUGCAUCAUAUGUAUUUGUAUUCUUUGCUUGGGUUUGAAUUUGUUUUGCUUUGCCUAAUUGUUAAACUAUUAUUAACUGCUACCUGAACUAUUUGCUGUAACUGCUAUCUAAACCUGUGCUUUCCUUGUCUAUUUUGACUGUGUUUGUUCUGGUGUGCUAUUUUUGAGAAUAAGCUUUGAUGCUGAAUUAAUGAUUGUGUUGAUUGAUUGCAUGGUUGGUUUCUGAUUGAGAUUUUCUUAAAAGAAAAGAAAGGUUUUGGAUUUUUGGAUAUUUAAAUAUUAAUUUUCAAAAAUGGUUUUUGGAUUACUAGUUGUCGGUUUUUAAAAGAUUCAAAGGACGAACAAUAAUCACUUAACUUAAAAAUAGAUUUCUCUUUUAAUAUCUUAUUAUGACAAUUCUAAAACUUUGUGGUGAGACCGUGUGGUUAGGUUCUCACCCCUAUAACUUUAUCUUUUAGGAGACGGAUGAAAAAGCCCACGAAGGGUUGUAUUGCAUUUUGCUUAGUCGAUAAUGCUAUUUAGUUUCUAUUUACUUACCCCCUCGCCAUCAAUAUUAUAUUAUGUAAGAUGGAUAGGAGUUGUAUAAUUUGUAUAUAUAUAAUAUGUAUAGGUUACUUGAGUAAGAAGUUUUGUACAUGUAUAUGCUUGUUUUGUUUCAUUUAAAAAGUAUAUUUUUUCCGGUUUUCAAAAAGAACAGUGAUACGAUUUCGGGUCAAAUGCUCCUAUUUUAUUAUUAAGUAUAUGAAGUCGUCAUAAUACUUCUUGCUAUCAGAGUAACGUAGCCAAAAGUGUGACAUUCUGAUAGUGAGGGUGUUACAUUGUGGCCAUCAACCUUUCCCAUAUUGAUUUAUCUACUAUUGUUUUGCUUCCUUUUUUUCCAACACCAUGCCUGGUCUUCCCAUGCCUUUCAUGCAGUUAUACACAAUCAAAGAGGGUAAUAAGUUGACACUUGAUAUUGUCCUCUCUAAUAAAAAAUUCUGAUAAUCUUAAAAUGACUAACUAAUUUAUUCUCGUUAUUUGUAUAAAAUAAUGUAUCAGUCAAUAUUAGUAUUUUUUUCCAAUUUUCCACAGUAUUCUUAACUCACCAAAUUAAGGAUUGAUUCGUUGCAGAUUCGAGCUCUAUUUAAGGAUUUGUCAUUAGGCAAUAAGUUGCUGUAUACAUAGGGCGGGACUCGAACUCACAAUACUUAUUUAAGCAGAUGAGUAAGCUAACUAUUCGACCAACCCAAAUUAAUUUCAAUACUAAUAUGUUUGUUUUUAGAAUAAUAUGAGACGAACUUAUUCGAUGAAUUUGUUUAAUAAACAAAAUAUUUGUUAUUUUCAAAUUUUAGAAGAUUUUUUGUCCCUCAUAUUUUUCAUUAAGAAAAAAAAUUGGGAAUUCAUUCGUCAAUAAUUGUAUAUACUUUUUGUUUGUCCAUGUACUUACUAUGUCUUCUUCAUAGUAAUAAUAUGAAAAAGGAGCAUGACUUGAAAUUUUGUUAAGCG